AUUGAACGCUGGCGGAAUGCUUUACACAUACAAGUCGAACGGCAGCACGGACUUCGGUCUGGUGGCGAGUGGCGAACGGGUGAGUAAUGUAUCGGAACGUGCCCAGUCGUGGGGGAUAACGGAGUGAAGAUUACGCUAAUACCGCAUACGAUCUAUGGAUGAAAGCGGGGGAUCGCAAGACCUCGCGCGAUUGGAGCGGCCGAUAUCAGAUUAGGUAGUUGGUGGGGUAAAGGCCCACCAAGCCAACGAUCUGUAGCUGGUCUGAGAGGACGACCAGCCACACUGGAACUGAGACACGGUCCAGACUCCUACGGGAGGCAGCAGUGGGGAAUUUUGGACAAUGGGCGAAAGCCUGAUCCAGCCAUUCCGCGUGCAGGAUGAAGGCCCUCGGGUUGUAAACUGCUUUUGUACAGAACGAAAAGGUUUCUACUAAUACUAGGAGCUCAUGACGGUACUGUAAGAAUAAGCACCGGCUAACUACGUGCCAGCAGCCGCAGUAA
rnacentral:rRNA from 1 species